rnacentral:lncRNA from 1 species
UCCCAUUCUAAUGAAAUCCUCAAGAUGGGGACGAAGCUUCCCCAAAUCGAAUACUUCUUGUUAAGAUGAAUAUUUAAUUACAAACACGAAAAGCCCUUUGCUUACACCAUCUUCACUAUCCAAAAUAUUCACUAAACAAGUAAUAAAAUAAGUAACAACUCACCCCCAUUUAACGGAUCGCCGCCGAAAACAUCAGGAAUCAAUUUGUGGUGAGAACUUCCAUUCUAUUCCAUAAACAGAGAAUACAUGAUCUAUUCAGUAAAUAUUAAAAAUCGUAAUUAGACCUUUGAUUUUCAUAGCCACUCACACGAUAUUCACGAACAAAGAAGAAGAAAACAGUAAACGCCGCCGGAAAACCUACAACUAACAACUUACACGGUUUUCAGUAAACACCGUUGGAAAACUAAACCAAUCGUCCUCCGAAUCCAGACGGCCAAAUCAAAUGUUCGCGGCGGGAUAACUGCAAUGUCGUCGGCCAAAUUCAAGCGCCGCUCUUGUAAUUGGAGAUGAAUCACCGUUCGUUUGGGAGGAGACGCAUCUGGUGUAGGGUUUCCAAAGUGAGAGGAGUUUGUUU